rnacentral:rRNA from 1 species
UACGGAGGGUGCAAGCGUUAUCCGGAAUCAUUGGGUUUAAAGGGUCCGUAGGCGGGCUAAUAAGUCAGUGGUGAAAUGCAGGGGCUUAACUCCGGCACUGCCAUUGAUACUGUUAGUCUUGAAUUAUUGUGAAGUGGUUAGAAUAUGUAGUGUAGCGGUGAAAUGCUUAGAUAUUACAUAGAAUACCAAUUGCGAAGGCAGAUCACUAACAAUAUAUUGACGCUGAUGGACGAAAGCGUGGGUAGCGAAC